rnacentral:rRNA from 1 species
GGCGUAAACAGAGGGAAGCGAGCCUGCGAGGGGGAGCGAAUCCCAAAAAUAACGUCCCAGUUCGGAUUGUAGUCUGCAACCCGACUACAUGAAGCUGGAAUCGCUAGUAAUCGCGGAUCAGAAUGCCGCGGUGAAUACGUUCCCGGGUCUUGUACACACCGCCCGUCACACCAUGAGAGUUGGCAACACCCGAAGUCGGUAGUCUAACCGCAAGGAGGACGCCGCCGAAGGUGGGGUUGAUGAUUAGGGUUAAGUCGUAACAAGGUAUC